GAAAACUUGUGUUAGAAAUGGCUAAAUUACAGAGAAGGCAAAAAGUGAUCCAUCUUUUUUUUUUCCCCAGAAGCUCAGAGGAGAAAAAGAAAAAGAUGAAGAGGUAAAGUACAGUGUACUUUGGGAGUCAAGAAACGAUUCUCUAUGACUCUGUCAUGAUCUACUUUCCAUGCACUCCCUCCUUAUGCCUAUCACACAGCUAUUGGAUAAGGUUUCUAGAUCAGUCUCAUUAUUAUUGAUCAACCAAACCAACCAAUGGAAUGUGUCCAAUAUACUCACUUGUAAAGGUAACUUCCCUGCCCAGUUGGGCUUAAUGAAAAACUGUUUGGACUUAAGGUACUUGUCUUGUUGAUA
rnacentral:lncRNA from 1 species